CAGUCGCCGCGGUAAUACAGAGGGUGCGAGCGUUAAUCGGAUUUACUGGGCGUAAAGCGUGCGUAGGCGGCUUUUUAAGUCGGAUGUGAAAUCCCUGAGCUUAACUUAGGAAUUGCAUUCGAUACUGGGAAGCUAGAGUAUGGGAGAGGAUGGUAGAAUUCCAGGUGUAGCGGUGAAAUGCGUAGAGAUCUGGAGGAAUACCGAUGGCGAAGGCAGCCAUCUGGCCUAAUACUGACGCUGAGGUACGAAAGCAUGGGGAGCAAACAGGAUUAGAUACCCGGGUAGUCCCUGUCUCUUAUAC
rnacentral:rRNA from 1 species